rnacentral:lncRNA from 1 species
GAUGUAUACGUCUGGAAAUAUAUAAUCCGAUGAUGGUCAUGGGAGGCUUGCUUCAGCUUCAGCCUAGGAAGUCCAGAAACCAAGGCACGCACUGGCACUAUUCCUCCUCAAGAUGUCAUCUAAGUAUAAAUAUCAUCCACCAAAGUAUUUAUCCAUGUGCAGAAUCAACUCAGAAACAGGCAGAAUUAAACACCACAACCCAAUGUGCAAAAUCAACUUAGUUAAAUCAAUGACCAAAGGAAAAUAUGUAAUCCCCGACACAACACCUGUAGUUCCAAACAAACAAGCAUAAUUAAACACCACACAACCCAAAAUCUCAGCCAUCACAUGUGAGAUGCUUACAUCGAUCUGCUUCUGCAGAUAACGCGAUAACUUCUUGGGCUGUCGUGGUGGAUGCGUGUAGCCAAUGGCGAGAAACUCCUCAACGGUGGGACGAAGAAGUCCCUCUUCCCCCAACGGCAGUGCAGGCAAGCGUUUGCCCAACGCCAUCUGAUCUCAAUGCGGGAGGAGCCACAAUGGCGGUGUGGCGGUGUGGUCCUCUAGGGCCGCCGUAGCCGUGCAAGUUUGUGGGCUUCUCCUUCUUCGACGACGGGGAGGAGGCUUCCACUAAGGCGGGGAUGCGGCGGUCAGAGGCGGCGCCCAUGAGGGCCAUGUAGGAGGUUCAAGAGGAUAAGAGAAGGGAAUGGGGAAGAGAUGGACGAGGGACGGGGCGGAUGGGACAGGGGCAGGACUUCCCUGCGUGACCGGAUGGGGAGAUCGUGGGUGUGUGCUAGGGGAUCGAGGCGGUUGGGCGAAGACAUGGCGUGGGACGCGGCCGCUUUUCUUUUUCAGUUUCCGACGGAGGAAGUGCU